UGGGGAAUAUUGCACAAUGGAGGGAACUCUGAUGCAGCGACGCCGCGUGAGUGAUGAAGGAAUUCGUUUCGUAAAACUCUGUUCUAUGGGAAGAAAAGGACUGUACCAUAGGAGAAAGCUCCGGCUAAAUACGUGCCAGCAGCCGCGGUAAUACGUAUGGAGCGAGCGUUGUCCAGAAUUAUUGGGCGUAAAGGGUGCGCAGGCGGCUUUACAAGUUGGAUGUGAAAUAUUGUGGCUCAACCACAAACGUGCAUCCAAAACUGCAAAGCUUGAGUUAAGGAGAGGUAAGUGGAAUUCCUGGUGUAGCGGUGGAAUGCGUAGAUAUCAGGAGGAAUACCGGUGGCGAAGGCGACUUACUGGACUUAAACUGACGCUCAGGCACGAAAGCGUGGGGAGCAAACAGG
rnacentral:rRNA from 1 species